GCAUGAAUGCAGAUCCUGUUUUAGUGUGGCAGUUCUGCGAGGUGCAGUGUACGCCAUGGGCGGUGAAGAUUCGAAUUUGUAUCACAACACGGUUGAAAGAUACGACUGCAAGAAGAACGAGUGGUCGAGGAUCGCUCCCAUGAACGAAAAGCGACUCGAUGCGAGUGCGGCUGUGCUGAAUGACAAAAUAUACGUCGCUGGUGGAUGCAGUCGUGGUAAUAUCCUAAACUCUGUGGAAGUUUAUGACCCGGACACCAACC